rnacentral:rRNA from 1 species
UGGGCGUAAGCGCGCGUAGGCGGUUUUUUAAGUCUGAUGUGAAAGCCCACGGCUCAACCGUGGAGGGUCAUUGGAAACUGGAAAACUUGAGUGCAGAAGAGGAAAGUGGAAUUCCAUGUGUAGCGGUGAAAUGCGCAGAGAUAUGGAGGAACACCAGUGGCGAAGGCGGCUUUCUGGUCUGUAACUGACGCUGAUGUGCGAAAGCGUGGGGAUCAAACAGGAUUAGAUACCC